UACGAAGGGGGCUAGCGUUGUUCGGAAUUACUGGGCGUAAAGGGUGCGUAGGCGGGUCUUUAAGUCAGGGGUGAAAUCCUGGAGCUCAACUCCAGAACUGCCUUUGAUACUGAAGAUCUUGAGUUCGGGAGAGGUGAGUGGAACUGCGAGUGUAGAGGUGAAAUUCGUAGAUAUUCGCAAGAACACCAGUGGCGAAGGCGGCUCACUGGCCCGAUACUGACGCUGAGGCACGAAAGCGUGGGGAGCAAACAGG
rnacentral:rRNA from 1 species